rnacentral:rRNA from 1 species
GACGAACGCUGGCGGCGUGCUUAACACAUGCAAGUCGAACGGAAAGGCCCUGCUUUUGUGGGGUGCUCGAGUGGCGAACGGGUGAGUAACACGUGAGUAACCUGCCCUUGACUUUGGGAUAACUUCAGGAAACUGGGGCUAAUACCGGAUAGGAGCUCCUGCUGCAUGGUGGGGGUUGGAAAGUUUCGGCGGUUGGGGAUGGACUCGCGGCUUAUCAGCUUGUUGGUGGGGUAGUGGCUUACCAAGGCUUUGACGGGUAGCCGGCCUGAGAGGGUGACCGGCCACAUUGGGACUGAGAUCCGCCCCAGCCUCCUCCGGGAGCCAGCGGGGGGAAAUUUUGAACAUGGGGCGGAGGCCGGAUGCAGCACCGCCGGGUGCGGGAGGACGGCCUUCGGUUUGUAACCCUCUUUCGCCGGUGACGAAGGGGGGGUGACGGUAGUGGAUAAAGAAGCCCCGGCUAACUACGUG